GGAAUAUUGGACAAUGGGGGAAACCCUGAUCCAGCAAUGCCGCGUGUGUGAAGAAGGCCUUCGGGUUGUAAAGCACUUUAGGCCGGGAAGAAAAAGCGUUACCUAAUACGUAACGCCUUGACGGUACCGGCGGAAUAAGCACCGGCUAACUCUGUGCCAGCAGCCGCGGUAAAACGUAGGAGGCAAGCGUUAUCCGGAGUUACUGGGCGUAAAGCGCGUGUAGGUGGAUUGGUAAGUUACUUAUGAAAGCUCCUGGCUAAACUAGGAGAGGUUGAGUGAUACUGCCAGUCUUGAAUAGAGGAGAGGUUGACGGAAUUCCGCGUGUAGUGGUGAAAUGCGUAGAGAUGCGGAAGAACACCAGUGGCGAAGGCGGUCAACUGGCCUCAUAUUGACACUCAGACGCGAAGGCAUGGGUAGCGAAC
rnacentral:rRNA from 1 species